UAAUUGAGAGAUCAUCUGAAUUCAUUUGUUAUACAUUUUCGCAUUCCCAUAAAAAUGGAGAAAAGAGCAGUUGCAAAUGGUUUGCUGUGCAGACAAAUUUUUGUUAUUCUCAUUCCGUAUCUCAUGUGGAGUGUGACUAAAGCAGAAAAAUGCUACGAAGAGGAUUUAUUUGUGAAGGUUGCCAAAGACCAUUGUCUGGCUAACGGUAUUAAGAAUAAAAACUACGUAAGAAGCUUGUUUGAGUGCGUUCACUUGUGUGUGAAUGAAAGGCCGAAGUGCAAGUCCUUCAAUUUCUGUGAAGACAAAUUAACUUGUGAA